rnacentral:rRNA from 1 species
GGGGAAUUUUCCGCAAUGGGCGAAAGCCUGACGGAGCAAUACCGCGUGAGGGAGGAAUGCCUUUGGGUUGUAAACCUCUUUUCUCAGGGAAGAAGAUCUGACGGUACCUGAGGAAUAAGUAUCGGCUAACUCCGUGCCAGCAGCCGCGGUAAUACGGAGGAUGCAAGCGUUAUCCGGAAUCAUUGGGCGUAAAGCGUCCGCAGGUGGUUUCCAAAGUCUGCUGUUAAAGACUGGAGCUCAACUCCGGAACGGCGGUGGAAACUUGGAAACUAGAGUUCGGUAGGGGUAGCAGGAAUUCCCAGUGUAGCGGUGAAACGCGUAGAUAUUGGGAAGAACAUCGGUGGCGAAGGCGUGCUACUGGACCGUAACUGACACUCAGGGACGAAAGCUAGGGGAGCGAAAGGGAUUAGAUACCCCUGUAGUCCUAGCUGUAAACGAUGGAAACUAGGUGUGGCUUG